AAGGAUUUUGGUUAGGGUUUACGAGGAGAAGAAGAUAACAGAACCAAAGGGUUUGGGAAGAUGGGAAGAAGUAACGGUCGUAGGUCCCUUCAAGAAACACUCCGGCUCCAACUUGAGUCCUGCAAAUCCAAAUACUCCACCGCCGAAGAAUAUGCCAACUAUCUCCGUUCUACUUACCCCCAUUACCACCGAACCAAGCACUAAACCCUAAUUCGUUUUGUUCAGGAAGCUCUUAAUUCCACCGCAAAGCUUAAUCACGCUCGCACACCCAAGCACUGCAAAAACGACGAUGACGACGACGAAGGAAAGGCUCAAAGCGCGUCUCGAAAGCGGCGGAAGAAAAUCGAUAGGAGUGAGGAGACAUUGCAGAGGAUGGAAGCGUUGCACGUCCGAAGGAAGGUGCAGGGAUCUUCCUCAUCGUCCUCUGCUUCGGAGUGCGACGAUGAAGAUGAAGAGGGAACCGUGUCGACUUCGGAGGACACAAUUUACGGGGAGAAGGUGGAGCCCGAGUUUGAUUUGAUGAAGACAACGCUGCGAAAGUCGUAUACGCCGAAGAAGGUUGCCACGGAGGAAAAGAACGUUGAAUUGGAGGUGGGGAAUAGCAGUAAGGACACUCUUGUGAAUGAGGAAAUGGGGAAUAGCAGUAAAGGAACUAGUACUCUUGUGAACGAAGAAUGGAAAGAAGUGAAGGGUUCGUGUUGGGGUUCGGUUUCGAAUGGGAAGGAUGGACCGAGGUUUAAGGAUUUGGGUGGGAUGAAGGAGGUUUUGGAGGAACCGAAGAAUGAAGUGAUUGUGCCUUUGUUCCAUCCCCAAUUGCCUAGGCAGUUGGGAGUGAGGCCAAUGGCUGGCAUUUUGUUGCAUGGACCACCUGGCUGUGGGAAGACUAAACUUGCUCAUGCUAUAGCAAAUGAGACUGGUCUUCCUUUCUAUCAUAUAUCAGAUCCUCUUGAUACAAAGUCAGGUGAUUGGUCAGAAUUAUCAAUAUAUAUUUUUUUCCCUCAAGUUCAAGAGUUAAAGUUUGGGGUGAAUCUUGAGACAGGAUUUUUGCUUUAUGGACCUCCUGGUUGUGGUAAAACACUGAUUGCCAAAGCUGUUGUCAAUGAGGCAGGGGCUAAUUUUAUUCAUAUUAAGGGACCUGAACUUUUAAAUAAAUAUGUUGGAGAAAGUGAGCUUCAAGUUUGUAAAAUGUUUAGCCGUGCAAGGACAUGUGCACCUUGCAUACUUUUUUUUUCUGAGAUUGACACUUUGACAACCAAACGUGGUAAAGAAGGUGGUUGGGUUAUUGAACGACUAUUGAACCAGUUGCUUGUUGGGUUAGAUGGCGCAGAGGAACGAAGAGAUGUUUUUGUGGUUGGUGCUACAAAUAGGCCUCAGGUGAUGGAUCGUGCUGUACUACUACGGCCUGGUAGGUUUGGUAAACUUCUUUAUGUUCCACUUCCAAGCCCAGAUGAACGAGUUUUGAUAUUAAAGGCUCUUGCAAGGAAGGAGGCUGUUGAUGCCUCUGUGGAUUUGAGUGACAUAGCCAAAAUGGAAGCUUGUGAAAACCUAAGUGGCGCUGAUCUUGCUGCAUUGGUUUGUCUCUGCUCUUUAUUGAUGUUGUCUGUUUCAUCCCUUUACCAUUGUUGCAUGUUGUGCAUGUAUGUGUAUGGUUGUUUGAUUCUGGGCGGGUACAAAGUACUACAACUACAAAGGUUGGACUAUAGAAAAAGUGGUAGUCAGUUUGAGAGAGAUACUGAUUUUAUGGACUAUACAGAUGAAUGAAGCAGCAAUGGCUGCUCUUGUUGAGAAUUUGGACUCAAUUGAGACAACUUGUGAUACAUUGACCAUCAAGAGUCCAAUCAAGAGACACCAUUUUGAGGUAGCACUGAGUAUAGUCUCUCCGUCUGUAUCAGACAGGAUAUGGCUUAUUCUGCUAUAUCUCUUUCACAUGAAAUAUGAUGCCUUGUGGUGAAUAAAUUAGUUUUAGAAAUUUACAAUGAAAUUUAUUUCGAAUUUUGGAGCAGCAAAAGCAGUACUAUCAGCACUUGUCAGAGGGCUUUAAAGCAACAUGAGCAGCAUGGCAUUCGCUUUUUUAUUUUAGCAGGUGACAACAUACCAAUGGGGGAAAGAAAUCAUUUAUGUUAGCAUCAAGUAUUCGGAGGUUGUUUGGUUGAGAUCAAAUAAGAAGGAAAGAAAAAGAAAUUUUUAAAUUUUUGUGUGGGUCUCGCACCUUUAUAUUUUUACUUUAAUUUAAAUAUUUCUUCUUUUUUCUCCUUCAUUAUUUUCUCUUCUCUCCAACCAAACAAUCCGCUGAAGUAUUUGCUUUUGUAUGAGAUGUACACGUUUCCUGCAACAGGAUAUAAUUUUUGGCGAUUGUUUAUAAUUUAUGGUUCAGUUUAUCUAUCAUAAGAUUGCUUCUUUUUUUUUAAAACAGUGUUACUAGUCACUAGAAUAUCAAUUAUAGUGAUGGCACAUGUUGGAUGCA